rnacentral:rRNA from 1 species
UACGAAGGGGGCUAGCGUUGUUCGGAAUCACUGGGCGUAAAGGGCGCGUAGGCGGCCAUAUAAGUCGGGGGUGAAAGCCUGUGGCUCAACCACAGAAUUGCCUUCGAUACUGUAUGGCUCGAGACCGGAAGAGGUAAGUGGAACUGCGAGUGUAGAGGUGAAAUUCGUAGAUAUUCGCAAGAACACCAGUGGCGAAGGCGGCUUACUGGUCCGGUUCUGACGCUGAGGCGCGAAAGUGUGGGGAGCGAACAGG